UGGGGCGCAAUGGCUAGCGCGCUUCGUUCGGGACGAAGAGGCUGGUGGUUCGAGUCCACUCACCCCGACCA
rnacentral:tRNA from 1 species